UUGCAAAUCAAUGCAAGAAAAACAUCAAGUUUGUAGUGCUCAUUUAUGACCCCAGUGAAAAGUUGAGGUUCUUUAUUUUCCCAAUAGACUGCAUUUGUGGCGUGAACACAGAUGUUAGUUGGGGAAGAAAAAAAGGGGAUGAAAGUUUUGUUGAAGACACUCAAUUAGGUGCUGGGCCCUGCAAUUCAUAAGGAUGAAACUGAACCAUCUGGAGGUAGAACCUGUUAGAAUCUAUACUGUCUAGGAUCGAUUCCUAAGUCCUUAGAAAACAAAUCCGUAACUGGAAGUAAAAUUUUGAUAACGAGUAGAUCUGAUCUAUUGAGAGGAAUUGGGAAAACACACCUUAUUGUUGCUGUUGUUAUCUUCAUAUCGUCGCCCUGCAGAGAAGCAGCAGGCAUCGAGAUCCGAGCCGUUGUAGGUUGUCGCGUUUCCAGACACUCCGACGCCUAGGCGAUGGGGCCUCUGGGGACUAGGGUUUUGGGGCGAGGUACUAGCGUUAGUUUUUCCUGCGACCCCUUAGUCCUAUAUUUAUAGCGUCGUGUGCCUAGGGUCUCCAGCCGAGGUUAGUGUGUGGCCCUCCCAAUCAAGGGCCCAUUUAAAGAGAUAGAUAGUUGGGUUUAGCCCAAUCCGGUCACUGAUGACCAGCUGUAGAGGACACACCCAACAGAACCAACUGGAAGACCUUGCUAUUCUUGAUCUCCCAGUCUGUGCAAAUAGGAAACAGAUAGAACCAACUGGAGAUAUUCAGUAUCAUGCUUCCAUGGAAUAGAAGUAACUGUAUCACCACCCAGGUAUCAAUCUGUGACGGUGGGCAGACAAACAUGUCCCGUCUCCUUCAGUUCCAUGUGUGUCCAAACUACACUAUCCUAAGCUUCUGAUGAAAAACAUAUUGUGAACAGCACAUAGUUGGUCAGCCGUCUAAUUCCUGCUCUUGUCUUUGAAAGUCUCUUCGUUGCACCAUCUCUGGUGGUGUCCGUUUGCCGCAGUGCAGCCAUGAUAGAGCUGGAAUAGCUGACUGGAUUGGAUGCCUCCAAAACCCGGUCCCUUGCCAAAAGAAGAAGAGGAGGAAGAAGAAGAACUGGCAGCACUGAAUUUCAUCAUAUGUAAGAUCUCCAGGCUGGUUACAGUGGAUGGACAGAAUGUUUUGGACACAUACAAGGGCAGGAAAAUGAUGGCUUGAAGUUUUUGGUUUGACUUUCACUCAGCCUCGUUCGAGUUUCACCCGCCACAUGUAUAGUGCCUGUACAUCACUUGAGACCAUGGCAGACAACUGCAGCCAGAGUCAAAUGCUUGACGCAGUGACAUCCAGAGCAGCUUUGGCUUGCAUGGCUGCUGGCUGCACGAAGGUGUUCGGUGGUGACUUGUUGAGGUCAUCAAGGAGACGAGAUUCUGCAUCGUUGAAGACAGUGAUCGGAUUUUUAUUUCUAUUUUUGACAAAUACUCUUGAGACUUUGCUAACAUCCAGUUAUCUUGUUACUGCCUCUGCUUUCAAAUAUAUUGUUAAAAAAUCAUUUACGCUGUUA